UCAAGAAACUUCCACAAUGGGCGAAAGCCUAAUGGAGCGACGUCGCGUGAUGGACGAAGUGCUUCGGCACGUAAACAUCUUUUAUGUGGGAUGAAAUUAUUGACAGUACCACAUGAAUAAGGGGCUCCUAACUCUGUGCCAGCAGGAGCGGUAAUACAGAGGCCCCAAGCGUUAUCCGGAAUCACUGGGCGUAAAGGGUGUCGAGGCGGUUGUAUUAGUCGUUCGUAAAAUCUACGGGCUUAACUUGUAGGCGGCGAACGAAACGGUACGACUUGAGGUUUGGAGAGGUGCGUGGAACUCACGGUGUAGGGGUGAAAUCCGUUGAUAUCGUGGGGAACACCAAAGGCGAAGGCAGCGCACUGGCCAAAAUCUGACGCUCACACACGAAAGCUAGGGUAGCGAAGAGGAUUAGAUACCCUUGUAGUCCCUGAGCGGGCUGGCAAGGCGCAU
rnacentral:rRNA from 1 species